rnacentral:rRNA from 1 species
GACGUAGGGCGCGAGCGUUGUCCGGAUUUAUUGGGCGUAAAGAGCUCGUAGGCGGUUUGUCACGUCGGAUGUGAAAGCCCGGGGCUUAACCCCGGGUCUGCAUUCGAUACGGGCAGACUAGAGUGUGGUAGGGGAGAUCGGAAUUCCUGGUGUAGCGGUGAAAUGCGCAGAUAUCAGGAGGAACACCGGUGGCGAAGGCGGAUCUCUGGGCCAUUACUGACGCUGAGGAGCGAAAGCGUGGGGAGCGAACAGG